rnacentral:rRNA from 1 species
ACCUAGGUGUCGGGGGAAUCGACCCCCUCGGUGUCGUAGCCAACGCGUUAAGUGUUCCGCCUGGGGAGUACGCACGCAAGUGUGAAACUCAAAGGAAUUGACGGGGGCCCGCACAAGCGGUGGAGUAUGUGGUUUAAUUCGAUGCAACGCGAAGAACCUUACCAGGGUUUGACAUCCUGCGAAUCUCUUGGAAACGAGAGAGUGCCUUCGGGAACGCAGUGACAGGUGGUGCAUGGCUGUCGUCAGCUCGUGUCGUGAGAUGUUGGGUUAAGUCCCGCAACGAGCGCAACCCACGUCUUUAGUUGCCAGCAUUUAGUUGGGCACUCUAGAGAGACCGCCGGUGAUAAACCGGAGGAAGGUGUGGAUGACGUCAAGUCAUCAUGCCCCUUACAUCCUGGGCUACACACGUACUACAAUGCUACGGACAAAGGGCAGCAAGUUCGCGAGGACAAGCAAAUCCCAUAAACCGUGGCUCAGUUCAGAUCGUAGGCUGCAACUCGCCUACGUGAAGGAGGAAUCGCUAGUAAUCGCAGGUCAGCAUACUGCGGUGAAUACGUUCCCGGGCCUUGUACACACCGCCCGUCACACCAUGGAAGUUGGCCACGCCCGAAGCCGUUACUCCAACCCUUGUGGAGGAGGACGUCGAAGGUGGGGCUGAUGACUGGGGGUGAAGUCGUAACAAGGUAUCCGUACCGGAAGGUGCGGAUGGAUCACCUCCUAA